AACGAACGCUGGCGGCAGGCCUAACACAUGCAAGUCGAACGGUGUAGCAAUACACAGUGGCAGACGGGUGAGUAACACGUGGGAACCUUCCUAUUAGUAAAGAAUAGCCCAGGGAAACUUGGAUUAAUACUUUAUACGCCCUACGGGGGAAAGAUUUAUCGCUAAUAGAUGGGCCCGCGUUAGAUUAGCUAGUUGGUGAGGUAAUGGCUCACCAAGGCUACGAUCUAUAGCUGGUUUGAGAGAAUGAUCAGCCACACUGGAACUGAGACACGGUCCAGACUCCUACGGGAGGCAGCAGUGGGGAGUAUUGGACAAUGGAGGCAACUCUGAUCCAGCCAUGCCGCGUGAAUGAUGAAGGCCUUCGGGUUGUAAAGUUCUUUUAGUAGAGAAAAUAAUGAUGGUAUCUACAGAAAAAGCCCCGGCUAACUUCGUGCCAGCAGCCGCAGUAA
rnacentral:rRNA from 1 species